rnacentral:tRNA from 1 species
GGGCGCAAAUUGAGCAUUUGGCGCUGUAGAAGACCCUUCACACGGGUGGGGUCGCAAGUUCAAUCCUUGCCGCGCCCACCA